AUUGAACGCUGGCGGCAGGCCUAACACAUGCAAGUCGAACGAGUGGCGGACGGGUGAGUAAUGUCUGGGAAACUGCCCGAUGGAGGGGGAUAACUACUGGAAACGGUAGCUAAUACCGCAUACCAUCGGAUGUGCCCAGAUGGGAUUAGCUAGUAGGUGGGGUAACGGCUCACCUAGGCGACGAUCCCUAGCUGGUCUGAGAGGAUGAACAGCCACACUGGAACUGAGACAGGGGCCAGACUCUUACGGGAGGCAGAAGUGGGGAAUAUCGCACAAUGGGCGCAAGCCUGAUGCAGCCAUGCGGAGUGUAUGAAGAAGGCCUUCGGGUUGUAAAGUACUUUCAGCGAGGAGGAGUUACUCGCAGAAGAAGCACCGGCUAACUCCGUGCCAGCAGCCUCGGUAAUAC
rnacentral:rRNA from 1 species